GACGAACGCUGGCGGCGUGCUUAACACAUGCAAGUCGAACGGAAAGGCCCUGCUUGCAGGGUACUCGAGUGGCGAACGGGUGAGUAACACGUGGGUGAUCUGCCCUGCACUUCGGGAUAAGCCUGGGAAACUGGGUCUAAUACCGGAUAGGAGCCAUUUUUAGUGUGAUGGUUGGAAAGUUUUUUCGGUGAAGGAUGAGCUCGCGGCCUAUCAGCUUGUUGGUGGGGUAAUGGCCUACCAAGGCGGCGACGGGUAGCCGGCCUGAGAGGGUGGACGGCCACAUUGGGACUGAGAUACGGCCCAGACUCCUCCGGGAGGCAGCAGUGGGGAAUAUUGCACAAUGGGCGCAAGCCUGAUGCAGCGACGCCGCGUGGGGGAUGACGGCCUUCGGGUUGUAAACUCCUUUCGCUAGGGACGAAGCUUUUUGUGACGGUACCUAGAUAAGAAGCACCGGCUAACUACGU
rnacentral:rRNA from 1 species